rnacentral:rRNA from 1 species
CAGCAGCCGCGGGAAAACGUAGGGUGCGAGCGUUAAUCGGAAUUACUGGGCGUAAAGCGUGCGCAGGCGGUUUUGUAAGACAGGCGUGAAAUCCCCGGGCUCAACCUGGGAAUGGCGCUUGUGACUGCAAAGCUGGAGUGCGGCAGAGGGGGAUGGAAUUCCGCGUGUAGCAGUGAAAUGCGUAGAUAUGCGGAGGAACACCGAUGGCGAAGGCAAUCCCCUGGGCCUGCACUGACGCUCAUGCACGAAAGCGUGGGGAGCAAACAGGAUUAGAUACCCGCGUAGUCCCUGUCUCUUAUAC